rnacentral:misc_RNA from 1 species
AACGCACCUUGCACCCUUUGGUAUUCCGAAGGGUAUGCCUGUUUGAGUGUCAUUAAAUUCAUCAAAUCAAUUGAGUUUUAUACUUGAACGAUUUGGAUUCUGAGGGUUUGUUGGCUCUAGUUAGUCGACUCCCUUUAAAAGCAUUAGUGGCUUGUCGAUCCCCAUUAAUUGGUGUGAUAGCUUUAUCUACAUCUAUAAUGGCAAGGUCAUACAAUGGCAAUAUGGCUGCUCUCGAACUGUCCAGUAAUGGACAAUUUGAACCAUUUGACCUCAAAUCAGGUAGGACUACCCGCUGAACUUAA